CCCAGUAACGGCGAGUGAAGCGGCAACAGCUCAAAUUUGAAAUCUGGCCCCCCGCGGGCCCGAGUUGUACUUUGGAGAGGACGCUUCUGGCGCGGCGCCGUCCGAGUUCCCUGGAACGGGACGCCGGAGAGGGUGAGAGCCCCGUACGGGCGGCCGCCUAGCCUCUGCGAAGCUCCUUCGACGAGUCGAGUAGUUUGGGAAUGCUGCUCAAAAUGGGAGGUAAAUUUCUUCUAAAGCUAAAUACCGGCCAGAGACCGAUAGCGCACAAGUAGAGUGAUCGAAAGAUGAAAAGCACUUUGAAAAGAGGGUCAAACAGUACGUGAAAUUGUUGAAAGGGAAGCGCCUGUGGCCAGACUUGCGCCCCGCGGACCACCCGGCGCCUCGCGCGCCGGGGCACGCCAGCGGGGCGCAGGCCAGCAUCGGCUCUCUCGGGGGGACAAAGGCCGCGGGAACGUAGCGCCCUCGCGGCGUAUUAUAGCCCGCGGCGCCAUGCCCCCGGGGGGGCCGAGGACCGCGCUCCGGCAAGGAUGCUGGCGUAAUGGCCACCGGCGACCCGUCUUGAAACACGGACCAAGGAGUCAAGCAUUGGGGCGAGUGUCUGGGUGGCAAGCCCGCACGCGGAAUGAAAGUGAACGCAGGUGGGAGCUUCGGCGCACCACCGACCGAUCCUGAUGUCCUCGGAUGGAUUUGAGUAGGAGCCCCGCCGCUUGGACCCGAAAGAUGGUGAACUAUGCCUGUAUAGGGUGAAGCCAGAGGAAACUCUGGUGGAGGCCCGCAGCGGUUCUGACGUGCAAAUCGAUCGUC
rnacentral:rRNA from 1 species